GGUUUGAUUAUGGCUCAGAUUGAACGCUGGCGGGAUGCUUUACAUGCAAGUCGAACGGCAGCACGGACUUCGGUCUGGUGGCGAGUGGCGAACAGGUGAGUAAUGUCGGAACGUGCUAGUAGCGGGGGAUAACUGGCGCUAAUACGCGCCACGCCCUUCGGGGAAAGCGGGGACCCGGGCCUCGCACUAUUAGACGGCCGAUAUCGGAUUAGCUAGUUGGUGGGGUAACGGCUCGCAAGGCGACGAUCCGUAGCUGGUUUGAAGGACGACCAGCCACACUGGGACUGGACAGCCCGGGCUCACGCGAGGGCAGCAGUGGGGAAUUUGGACAAUGGGGGAAACCCUGAUCCAGCCAUCCGCGUGCGAUGAAGGCCUUCGGGUUGUGUAAGCACUUUUGGCAGGAAAGAAACGGCACGGGAUAAUACCCCGUGCAACUGACGGUACCUGCAGAAUAAGCACCGGCUAACUACGUGCCAGCAGCCGCCUUAUGGUAAUACGUGGGUGCAAGCGUUAAUCGGAAUUACUGGGCGUAAAGCGUGCGCAGGCGGUUCGGAAAGAUGCUUAAAAUCCCGAAACCUUUGGAACUGCAUUUUUAACUACCGAGAGCUAGAGUGUGUCAGAGGGAGGUGGGUCCACGCGUGUAGCAGUGAAAUGCGUAGAUAUGCGGAGGAACACCGAUGGCGAAGGCAGCCUCCUGGGAUAACACUGACGCUCAUGCACGAAAGCGUGAGGGGAGCAAACAGGAUUAGAUACCCUGGGUAGUCCACGCCUAAACGAUGUCAACUAGCUGUUGGAGCCUUCGGGCCUUGGUAGCGCAGCUAACGCGUGAAGUUGACCGCCUGGGAAGUACGGUCGCAAGAUUAAAACUCAAAGGAAUUGACGGGGACCCACACAAGCGGUGGAUGAUGUGGAUUAAUUCGAUGCAACGCGAAAAACCUUACCUACCCUUGACAUGUCUGGAAUCCCGAAGAGAUUUGGGAGUGCUCGCAAAGAGGAGCGCGGAACACAGGUGCUGCAUGGCUGUCAUCAGCUCGUGUCGUGAGAUGUUAGGUUAAGUCCCGCAACGAGCGCAACCCUUGUCAUUAGUUGCUACGAAAGGGCACUCUAAUGAGACUGCCGGUGACAAACCGGAGGAAGGUGAGGAUGACGUCAAGUCCUCAUGGCCCUUAUGGGUAGGGCACACGUCAUACAAUGGUCGGGACAGAGGGUCGCCAACCCGCGAGGGGGAGCCGACCAAAACCGAUCGUAGUCCGGAUCAUGAUCUGCAACUCGACUGCGCGUCAGAACCGCAUAGUAAUCGCGGAUCAGCAUGUCGCGGUGAAUACGUUCCGGGUCUUGUACACCGCCCGUCACCAUGGGAGUGGGUUUACCAGAAGUAGUUAGCCUAACCGUAAGGAGGGCGAUUACCACGGUAAGUUCAUGACUGGGGUGAAGUCGUAGCUAAGGUAA
rnacentral:rRNA from 1 species